rnacentral:misc_RNA from 1 species
CGCACAUUGCGCCUCUCAGUAUCCUGGGAGGCAUGCCUGUCUGAGCGUCGUUUCAACCCUCGCGCCCUAGUUGGCGCGGUGUUGGGGAACUACAUGCGAUCACUCGCCGUAGUCCCUGAAAACCAGUGGCGGUCCCGUAGCGGUCCUCUCCUUGCGUAGUAGCAUUAGCCUCGCAUCGGGAGCCCUCGGGUCUCCGGCCUCUAAACCCCCAUCAAGCCCGCCUCGGCGGCACAAGGUUGACCUCAGAUCAGGUAGGAAUACCCGCUGAACUUAA